rnacentral:rRNA from 1 species
GUCUCAGGCCGGAUCAGCCUGAAGGCGCCCGAUCUCGUCUGAUCUCGGAAGCUAAGCAGGGUCGGGCCUGGUUAGGAUCUUGGAUGGGAGACCACCUGGGAAUCCCGGGUGCUCGAGGCU